UUCUCGUGCAGCCACCGCUGAUCGACGCUGCCUUCCUGUGUCCUAGCCUCAGCCGCGACACCCACCCGACGGCGUCACCACCUGCGGUGCCGCUGGCCGAGCCCUAUCUCCGAUCGCCGAGCAGAGCAGGUCUCUUGCUUCUACCUUAGCUCUGUGCCCUAGUGUCCGACAUCUCCUGGAACAGCCGAGUCUUCCUCUCGCACGAAAUCAGCACAGCAGUGCCCUUUCGCCACUGUCCUUGUGCCCUAGCAUCGGUCGGCCAGCCGUCAAGUGCUAGCAGCAACUUUGACGGAUCCUAGGUCAUCACAGGCAGUAGGAGGGAAGAGCUUCUCCGGGUCUCGACGGUAAGUUCUUCAGGAUUUGAGCAGCACUGAGGCAUCGAAAAAUUUGAGGACCUUGACGCGAGACGAGUAUCUCGGAGUCAGAUUUGGACCAUUUUAUUGGAGGCGGG